rnacentral:rRNA from 1 species
UACGAAGGGGGCUAGCGUUGUUCGGAUUUACUGGGCGUAAAGCGCACGUAGGCGGAUCGAUCAGUCAGGGGUGAAAUCCCAGGGCUCAACCCUGGAACUGCCUUUGAUACUGUCGAUCUGGAGUAUGGAAGAGGUGAGUGGAAUUCCGAGUGUAGAGGUGAAAUUCGUAGAUAUUCGGAAGAACACCAGUGGCGAAGGCGACUUACUGGACACAUAUUGACGCUGAGGUGCGAAAGCGUGGGGAGCAAACAGG